UUAUUUUUAUCUGUAUUGUUCUACCGAAAGUACGAAAUCACUGAGGAGAAGCGAAGGAUAAGAAGCAAGAAAGCGAUAAAAAUAUACAUUACAGGGCAAUUAAAUUAACUGAAGAUCAAGUGAUUGCAGGGCGGGCAUCAAUGGAGAAAUUCAGCUACUCUACCUGUUGACCUCAGCCACCGGAAAACCUGCCGGGCAGCAGUGCCGACUCCAGGCAUGAUCUUUGGUUGAGGUUUUUGUAAGUGGUAAUUAUAGCUACUUGAUGGAUCCGGUGACUGAUGAGCAAUUAGAUUAUGGAGAUGGAGAGUAUGGAGGGAAUCCAAAGGUGCAAUAUCAACAGAGUGGAGCUAUACCGGCACUUGCUGAGGAGGAUAUGAUUGGUGAGGAGGAUGAAUAUGAUGACCUCUACAAUGAUGUUAAUGUUGGAGAGGGGUUUCUGCAGAUUCAGCAUUCGGAGGCGCAGAUAACGUCUGGUGUGGAAAACAGGGGAUUUCAAACCGCAAUAGCUAAUGUUCCCGAAACAAGAAAGGAAGAAGUAGCCACAAAGGAGACAAAUAAUGCCAGAGUUGCCAUUGAAGGGAGAUAUGCUCCUGCUCCCACUAACAUCCAAUUUUCCGAGGAGAAAACUGGGGCUGGCGGGCCUCCACAAACUGUGGAUGCUGCUCAAAGAAGAGAGCUACCUGAGAAUGUACAUGGUUCUCAUCCAGGGAAUCUGGGAUAUCAAGGAUCCAUAACUAUGCCACCAAAGACAGUUGUUGAUCGAAUGAAUAGUUCAGAACAAGUAGCUGGAGAGCCUGCAUCUGCGGUGAAUCUUAACAUGAUCAGACCUAAGGUUGUUGCACAGAUGCCGCCCAAUCAGAUGAAUGCAAGUGCAAAUGUCGGUAUAAACCGUUCAACAGAUAAUGAGCAUAUGGCACGUCCUUCUGUAGAAAAUGGAAAUACCAUGCUCUUUGUCGGAGAGUUACACUGGUGGACAACGGAUGUUGAGCUUGAGAGCGUGCUUUUUCAGUAUGGGAAAGUUAAGGAGAUUAAGUUUUUCGAUGAAAGGGCUAGUGGUAAGUCAAAAGGCUAUUGCCAAGUUGAAUUUUAUGAUCCCGCUGCUGCUUAUGCAUGCAAAGAAGGCAUGAAUGGUCACAUUUUCAAUGGUAGAGCUUGUGUGGUGGCAUUUGCCACUCCUCAGACUAUAAAGCAAAUUGGUUCCACUUACACAAACAAGAACCAACCGCAGGGUCAGUCUCAGAUGCAAGGAAGGAAUUCUAUGAAUGAUGGAGCAGGAAGAGGCAACGGAACAAAUUUUCCGAGUGGAGAUACAGGGAGGAAUUUUGGGCGAGGAGGCUGGGGACGAGGGAACCAAGGUCCCAACAAGGGUCCAGGGGGUGGACCGAUGAGAGGAAGAGGGGCUAUGGGAAACAAAAACAUGGUUGGGAAUGCACCUGGUGCUGCUGGUGCUGUUGGAGGAGCAUAUGGUCAAGGUGUUGCUGGCCCUGGUUUUGGUGGGCCUCCUGGAAUGAUUCAUCCUCAGGGUAUGAUGGGACAUGGUUUUGAUCUAGCAUUCAUGGGUCGAGGAGCUGGUUACGGAGGCUUUUCAGGACCUGCUUUUCCAGGAAUGCUUCCGCCAUUUCCAGCUGUUAAUUCAAUGGGGCUUCCUGGAGUUGCUCCUCAUGUUAAUCCAGCCUUUUUUGGUCGAGGAAUGACUCCUGGAGGAAUGAAUAUGAUGGGGAAUGCAGGUAUGGUCGGACCUCACUCAGGAAUGUGGAAUGAAACUAACAUGGGGGGAUGGGGUGGGGAAGAGCAUGGCCGAGGGACUGGAGAGUCUAGUUAUGGUGGUGAAGAUAAUGGAUCUGAAUAUGGGUAUGGUGGAGAGGCAACUCACGACAAAGGUGUGAAGUCUAGUGUUGCUUCACGAGAAAAGGAAAGGGACUCUGAGCGGGAUUGGUCUAGUAACCCCGACAAGAGGCACCGUGAGGGGCGAGAACAUGAUGGUAGGGACCCUAGAUAUAGAGAUGACAAGGAUCGUUAUCGGGAUUAUCGCCCCAAAGAUCGUGAUGCAGGUCAUGAUGAUGACUGGGAUAGAGGUCAAUCUUCAAGAUCCCGCAACAGAUCAGGUGCAGUGCCAGAAAAUGAUCACAAGUCUCGGUCUAGAGAUGUUGAUUAUGGGAAGCGGAGACGGAUGCCAUCUGAGUAAAUGUAAUCAGGAACAGGUCUUGCAGUAGCUGAAGCCUGCCUCUAAAAUUCGAAGCAUGAUAUUAUGGAUAAUAUGAAGUAUUGCAACCACUUUCUUGUUUGUGUCGGCACCGCAUUCUGUGUGGACUCUGACAUCGGAGAAGAGCAGAGAACCAUUAAAUGGUGCGCUCUUGGAUAUCUCUGUCAUGCUUAAUACUAUGUGACUCCAAAGAAGCCUUAAUUCUAUAUACGAUUGUUUUGCGUAGCAAAGAAGCCUUACCAAUUCUUGAGGAAUGUUUUCCAAUUCGGAAAGAGUGAUAGUUUAGUUGUUUCAAAUAUGCUAUGUAUAGUAGGUUUUAUACGUGUAAUCAUUGCAUUUGAUGUGUGACUAAAUCUCUUAGCUUGUAAAAGUUACAUACAUAUCCUCCGUGACCCUGUAUUUUGUUCUUGUAUAGCCGAGCUGUAAUUUGGGUUGAAGCAUAUUUAUGGUGUGUUACAUGUUGUACAUAUCCUAGUGUCGCUGUAAUCCCUGUAAGGUUAAAUAGGUACGAGAUAUCAUAUGUUGUCUGAAUACAAGCAUCGUCUCGACUUUAUCCAUGUUUAUAAUGUUGAGCUACCACUAAUAAGGUCAGAUGCUCGAAGAAUAGCUU